rnacentral:rRNA from 1 species
CCCUUAGAUGCUCUGGGCCGCACGCGCGCUACACUGGUCGAUGCAACGAGUUUCUUUCCUUGGCCGACAGGCCUGGGCAAUCUUUGAACAUCGAUCGUGAUCGGGAUAGAUUCUUGUAAUUUUUGAUCUUAAACGAGGAAUUCCUAGUAAACACAAGUCAUCAGCUUGCAUUGAUUACGUCCCUGCCCUUUGUACACACCGCCCGUCGCACCUACCGAUUGAAUGGUCCGGUGAAAUCUCCGGACUGGCGUGAGUCGGAGCAAUCUGACAAACACCGGAAAGUUGAUUAAACCUUACCAUUUAGAGGAAGGUGAAGUCGUAACA